CCUACGGGGGGCUGCAGUGGGGAAUAUUGCGCAAUGGGGGCAACCCUGACGCAGCCAUGCCGCGUGAAUGAAGAAGGCCUUCGGGUUGUAAAGUUCUUUCGGUAGCGAGGAAGGCAUUUAGUUUAAUAGACUAGGUGAUUGACGUUAACUACAGAAGAAGCACCGGCUAACUCCGUGCCAGCAGCCGCGGUAAUACGGAGGGUGCGAGCGUUAAUCGGAAUAACUGGGCGUAAAGGGCACGCAGGCGGUGACUUAAGUGAGGUGUGAAAGCCCCGGGCUUAACCUGGGAAUUGCAUUUCAUACUGGGUCGCUAGAGUACUUUAGGGAGGGGUAGAAUUCCACGUGUAGCGGUGAAAUGCGUAGAGAUGUGGAGGAAUACCGAAGGCGAAGGCAGCCCCUUGGGAAUGUACUGACGCUCAUGUGCGAAAGCGUGGGGAGCAAACAGGAUUAGAUACCCUGGUAGUC
rnacentral:rRNA from 1 species